rnacentral:tRNA from 1 species
AAUAGAAUGGCUGAAUUGUAGGCGUAAGAUUGUAAAUCUUAGUAUAGGCAUGGUUAGCCUUUCUAUUA